UUCCCUCCGCAGUUUCCCUCGGGAUAGCUGGCGCUCUCGCAGACGCACAAAAGACGCACUUUUAUCCAUCCGGUAAAGCGAAUCAUUAGAGAUCUUGGGGCUGAAACGAUCUCAACCUAGUCUCAAACUUUCUUUCAAUGGGUAAGAAGCCUGGCUCACUGGCGUGGAGUCGGGCAUGCAAUUCGAGUGCCUAGCGGGCCACUUUUGGUAAGCAGAACUGGCGCUGCGGGAUGAACCGAACGCCUGGUUAAGGCGCCCAAUGCUGACACUCAUCAGACCCCAGGAAAGGUGUUGUUUGAUAGCGACAGCAGCACGGUGGCCAUGGUACUCAGAAUCCACUAAGGAGUGUGUAACAACUCAACUGCCGAAUCAACUAGCCCUGAAAAUGGAUCACGCAGGUGCGACGGGCCCAUAACCGGCUGUAACUGGCGGUUGGUCAGAGCCAAAGGGAUGGCAUCCACACACCCAUGUAUGCUAUACCACGAACAGUACGAGUGGGAGGGCCACUGCAGUGAGCCUUGAAGCCUAGAGCGUGGGCCCGGGGCCCAUGUGGAGCCACCACAGGUG
rnacentral:ncRNA from 1 species